AUUGAACGCUGGCGGCAGGCCUAACACAUGCAAGUCGAGCGGAGCGGCGGACGGGUGAGUAAUGCCUAGGAACCUGCCUGGCCGUGGGGGAUCACGUCCGGAAACGGGCGCUAAUACCGCAUACUAUCAGAUGAGCCUAGGUCGGAUUAGCUUGGGUGGGGGGUAAAGGCCUACCAAGGCGAAGAUCCGUAACUGGUCUGAGAGGAUGGUCAGUCACACUGCAACUGAGACACGGCCCAGACCCCUACGGUAGGGAGCAGUGGAGAAUAUUGGACUAGUGGCGAAAGCCUGAUCCAGCCAUGCCGAGUGUGUUAAGAAGGGCUUCGGAUUGUAAAGCACUUUAAGUUGGGUAUCGUUACCAACAGAAUAAGCACCGGCUAACUUCGUGCCAGCAGCCGCGGUAAUAC
rnacentral:rRNA from 1 species